GGCUUGAGCUCCAGGUAAUCCUGGGGGAGGAUUUCCCUUCUGUGAUAAAGGAUGAAAGGUUUGUAAAAACGGUUGCAAAAACUGAGAGAUGCAAACCUGAGAGAAUGAUUGACAGGAGCAUGUGACUAAGGGUCACAUGGGAGCCUGAGCCUUGGGAUCUGGGAAAGUUUUAUGCCCAAUGGUGGCUUCAUCUGAGUCUGCUCUCCUGGAAGGACCUAAGGCUUGAAGAGGAUUUUUCCUGUGACCAACAGAGGAAAGAGGUUUUCUGGAUUUGGCUGCUGGACCUACUUGGACAUCUACCAACUGAAGAAUAGAUCCUGGCCCUAUUUGAUGGGACUCCUGCUGAGCCAGUACGAAGAAGGAGCAUAUUUAUGGUACUGUCUUCAUCUCUUGUGAGCAGCAUUAACCAAUGGUUCCUUAUUGUUGACCCUCUAUGGCUGUCAGGAGAUCCAUGAGGAAGAUGGAGCACAAAUUUUUGUUCAUGCAAAAAGGCACAGAAAAUCUCUGUAUAGGACAAAGUCCUUCAACAGUACUAGUAUUAGUGACAUGGCUGACUCCAUCAAAGGUGUUCAUUUACUUAAUACAUAUACAAGAAUCGGUGGUCUCAGGGACAGCUAGAUGGUUUGUUAAAUUAAGAACCAAGCGUAUGGAUGGAAGGUCCUGGGUUCAAGUAUGGUUUCAGAUACUUCCUGGUUCUUUCUCUGGAUGUGGAUAGCAUUCUUUCUAAUAAGUUCUUCUGGAUUGUCCUGGGUCAUUGCACUGCUGCUAGUAGAGAAGUCCAUCACCUUCGAUUGUACCACAGUGUAUCAGUCUCUGUGUACAAUGUUCUCCUGGUUCUGCUCCUUACACUCUGCAUCACUUCCUGGAGGUUGUUCCAGUUCACAUGGAAUCCUUCCAGUUCAUCAUUCCUUUCAGCACAAUAGUAUUACAUCAUCAUCAGAUACCACAAUUUGUUCAGCCAUUCCCCAAUCGAUGGAUGCCCCCUUCAUUUUCCAGUUUUUUGCCACCAUAAAGAGUGUGGCUAUAAAUAUUUUUGUACAGCUCUUUUCCUUUAUUAUUUCUUUGGGGUACAAACCCAGAAGUGGUAUGACUAAGUCAAAGGAUAGGCAGUCUUUUAAAGCCGGUUGGACAUAAUUCCAAAUUGCCCUCCUGAAUGGUUAGACCAAUUCACAAUUCCACCAGCAGUGCAUUUGUGUCUGAAUUUUGCUACAUUCCCUUCAACAUUUAUCAUUUUCCUUUGCUUCCAUAUAAGCCCAUCUGCUAGGUGUGAGGUGGUACCUCAGAGUUGUUUUGAUUUGCAUUUCUCUAAUCAAGAGGGAUUUAGAACACUUUUUCAUGUGCUUAUUGAUAGUUUUGUUUUCAUCAUGUGAAAACUGACUAUUUAAAAUUCCUUAUAAACUACAAGGUUUGACAUGAAAAUAUUUUUAUUUUACUUAUUAAUGUUGAAAAAGGCCCAGUAAAGUAAUCCUCUAGUGUCUCAAUGGAUAUAGUUUCUCUGCGUAUAUACCAACAGUGAAUAUCAACAACCAGGAAAGGAAACCAUAAUCACUUCUCAGAGAAUGAGUAGAUAAAAUUACCACUAAAACUUGGUAGUGAGUAGUAAUUUAGGGCAUUCUUUUCGUACAUAUGAUACAAGGAAAUGGAGUUAAUCUGUUACAUAUUUAUGACAUAUAUAAUAUAAAAAUGUGUUAACAAAAAAACAAAAUUUGCUAUUUACAAAGCAAAUGUGAUUUCAGUGAGUCACAGAAAGAACUAUAAAGAUUGAAACAGUGAAAUCAGCACAACCAAACAAUUAAAAGUAUGAAAUUAAUAUAAAAAAUUAAAUAAGUUAGGAACCAGAAGCUAAUAACACUGCUUGACAUUGGAGGAAAUUGCUGAUAAAAGAACUAAACAAUGGCAAAGGUAUUUCUCCCUUCUCUAUAAUCCACAAUGCAGUUUCAAUAAUUGUCUUAGAUUCUACAAGGUGGUCUUGAUUCCUAGACCAUUUGGGUGAAAAUGAUGAUUAAAAAGUCCCGAGAUUCUUUUGAAGUCAUCAAAAGAAGUAUAGUUGUCACAGUGGGAACAUAAAAUCUAUAUGCUUCCAGAACGGAGUUGAAGCAGCUUACAAAAUAAAACAUAUGGAUUAUGAAAAAUAAAAGCA
rnacentral:lncRNA from 1 species